UGAGCUGUCGUUCACUCUCUUCGACAUCACAGCAAGAAAACUCAGUUUCCUCCUCCAUCUGUUCAUUCCUGCUCACUUCAAUUUGAACCAAAAAGAUCCCCACCGAGUCUGGAGGGCUCCUCCAUUCCUCCCUUAGUUUGUGUUAUUACAAGUCUCCAUAUCUCUUCCCUCCGUGACUCAGCUGACGACGACAGGCUAUUUCUGUUUGAAAGCCGGCAAAUCAGACCUCAACGUUUUACCGAUCGUCUCCCUUUCAUCUCAGGAACAAGAAACACCCGUUGCAUGCCUCAAUUCGUUACGGUUUCGAUGAGGAUUUUUUUAAUACUCCUCAAAGUUUUCCUGCGUUUAUGCGACGAUUCCGGCGAAGGUCGGCGUCGAUGUUGGUCUCAAACUAUUCCUCAACAACUCAGAUAGAGAAAGCGGCUGGGAUAUGAGCAAUAAGCGUUUUUACAAAAUCUUAAUAUACCAGUGCGAGUGAAGUGUGUCUGUUUACAAAAUCUUAAUAUACCAGUGAACAUUCAGGGUUCAUGGAUUGUUAAGCAAUGUGUGGGAAGAAAGCAUGCGGGCACUUGAAAUCAAUUAUUUCCACGAGAAGAACUAUUUGGAGUACAAGAAUGUGAGACCAGAUUAUCUGAAGAACAUAUGGAAAGUCAUCAACUGGAAGUAUGCCAAUUAAGUGUAUGAGAAAGAAAGCCCUUGAGCUAAAUCAGGUGGCGGCAUUUGCAGCUGGUUGAGUUCAUGAAAACAAAACAACCAACGUGACAAAUGAGGACGCUUAUUUAAUCACGGAUAUAUCUCAUCCCAUAUAUGAAAACCAGAUUAGUGUAUGAGUUUAUGUACUUAUUUAAUCACCUUUUUUCUUAAGUUCCGGUAUUUGGAUGGUUUGAUACAAUAAGCUACAUCAUUGGAGCUUUUGUCUAUUUUUCUGGCUGAAAUUUGCUUCUUGUUGUGUUUGAGGGAUUUGCAGUUAUUUUUUGUUGGUGUUUCAAUUUGUGGCCCAUGUGUUUUA